GGUCUACAACAGGCAGAGCUCCCUAACAGGCUUUGGUGGUUGUGUGGUUCACCGCAGAGAGUUUCAAUUAGGGCAGGACAGUGCAGAAUGUCAGCAAUGCAUUGGGAGGCACGGCGCCGGCAGUUUGUUGUGGCUCACAGGUUGUGCACCCAUAUGAACAAGACCAAGGAAAACCCAAAUCCUGAACAACAGGAGACAGCAAAGGAAGAGCCUGUUGUACCUCAACAGCCAAAUCCUCUUGCCAUGGCAGGCGAAGAGGAAACUCGCCACAUGACUAAAGACUUCAGUGAGAAUAAUUCCACCACCACAAAGGCUAAAAGAAAACGCUACAGUGCCAAGAUUGACAAUAGAUACACUUCCAUACAGUAUGCCCAGCAGUGGUGACAUCCGAGUAGUUCAACCUUCACUCUACUCUGAGAGCAACAUUCCAUCCUUUCAAACGCUCCAAC